rnacentral:tRNA from 1 species
GAGUGUUUUGACCGGCUUCAGCUCAAUCGGGCUUUCCAGGUCUUUAACGUUUUUAGGCUUUGUGAACACAUGACCG